AGGGGAUCAAUAUGCAACAGCCUCUCAAGAAGCUAUGUCCUUCAUCUUAUUUCUCAUCAGCAGAUGGGAAAUGAAAAUCUGAUCUGUCAUCAGUCACAUAGUGCAUCUGAAAGAUUACUGAAGAAGUUUAUUACUGCAGAAUAUUACUCCAGAAGUUGGAGGUUUGUCUUUUCUACAGUAUCUGACUGGCUUCAAGAGACAUCAUCUGUGAUUAGCCGUAUCUUCACAAAGAGUAUCCUGCGCUUUUAGUUACCCUGUGGUGCCUGUUCACAGCCGAUCCUCAGAAACAUCAACGUAAGUACAGAGUAAUAGGUAGGAUAUACUCUAUAUCCAGAGUUUACAUUUGCUUUACAUGUGUAAAAAUAACAGUAGAAUAUAUCUACUAGGUGACAGUUGGUUAAGUGAGAAUCCUAGUUUCAUUGCUCUAAAUUUCACUGUAUCUAUAUCGCUUCGUCACCUUGUAGUCAAUUGCCAAUGAGCUUUAUCCAUCCCAACUUAACAACGGUAAAAGUAUUUAUCCCAUAGGCUUCUGCCAGUUUUGCACCCCCCCUUCCCUGAGCCCUGCUUGCUCUGUGCCUUGUGUAAAGUUGGUGGAAAAUACAGUCCGCCUGGGGUGGCCCAUGAAGUUUGCCCCAGGGCAAAAUUAAAAAUGCCUCAAAUCUGGAUUUCCCCAGAGUAGUAGGUGCUUUUGCCUAUCGUAUACUGAAUAUGCACGGAAAGCUACAGUUUGAGCUCUUGUGCACUCUACAGAGCCGUUUCAGCAAUCACUUUGCAGGGUCUGGCCGAGGGAGAGCUGACUUUCUUUGCAUAGCGAAACUCCAGUUUUGACCGGAGUUGUGAGUAUGUAUAUGUGUGUGUGCGGAGGUGGGGGGGGGGUCUCACAUUCCAGCAAAAAAACGUGAAAUAAGGUCUGUUUUGGGUAGAGGGUUGAAACAAUAGUUACAUCAGCAAUUGAAUAUGAAGUCAUCGGAGUUAAAGGUCCAGCUUAUCUGCAGAGCAGACUUAGGGCAAGGAAAGGGUGGGUGAUAAGGCGUCUGGU
rnacentral:lncRNA from 1 species